ensembl:lncRNA
GUCCUCAUAGCUUCUUCUUCUUUACUUAUUUAUGAAUUUCUUUUUAUUAUAAUCGAUUGACAAUGCUCUGUCAAUUUCUGCCGUAGAGCAGAGUGACCCGGUCAUAUACAUUCCUUUUCUCACGUUAUCCUCCAUCGUGUUCCAUCACAAGUGAUCAGAUUCAGCUCCCUGUGCUAGACAGCAGGAUCUCAUUGCCCGUCACUCCAGAUGCAACAGUUUGCACCUACUAACCCCAAACUCCCAGUCCAUCCCACCUCCUCUCCUCCCCCUUGGCAACCACAAGUCUGCUCUCCACGUCCAUGAGUUGUUUUUUUUUUUUUUUUUCUGUAGAUAGGUUCAUUUGUGCCAUAUAUUAGACUCCAGAGAUAAGUGAGAUCAUAUGGUAUUUGUCUUUCUCUUUCUGACUUGCUUCACUUAGUAUAAGAGUCUCUAGUUCCAUCCAUGUUGCUGCAAGUGGCUGCAUGGUUUUUUGGUGUUUUUUUUUUUUUUUUUUUUUUUUUUUGUAUUAGAAACCAGUUGGGAAUGACCUAUGUGGCCUACCAGAAGCAGAGUUGAACAUAUUUUGGUACAAACCGCACAUGACUCCAGUGACUCCAGUGAAUGAAGCAGGUCUAUAAGUACUGGUAUGGGAAACACCCAUAUGGUGCAAUUCAGAAAUCCAAAGGCCUGGUCCUCCACUAAAAAGGAAGAUAAGACACAUAACCACGCUGAACAUCACCGGUUUCAGGAAAACGGCCUCCAGUUGUGUUUUAAAGGAAAGAAGCUGCACGGCUUGGCAAAGAGGAAGAGGUCGGAGACAGCACAGUCUCUGCCUCACAGCCCUGCAGCGUUAACAAGCCAAACUGUGCUCAUCCGAGUUUGAAAUGAUCACCUCCUGUACAGAAGCCUGGCUCUCUGGGCGCCGCAGCAGGGAAACUGACGGGUGGGCGGAGUCAUCAGUCUACCUGACCCCACCCAACCUGGGCAGUUCCUGCCUGGCAUGCUCAGCUCUGGAGAGAGCCGCCUGCCCUGCUGGGCUCCACGGUGACCAGGCUGCCUGGGGGCUGCGGCUGGGGCCCCUCCUCCUCUGAUGUGUCAGCCCACAGGCUUUUAUUGAACACCUCUUGGCUAUCAUGUGGCGUCAGGAGGGAAGAUGGAGACAGGUGCAGCGUGGACUGUCGCGGAGCUCACAGUUCUGCGGGAGGGGGAAGAGGGGGUGACUAACAGCAAACCAGUGAACACACCUUGUGAAAGAGUAGCAGAGGGGAGGGGUGCCAGGCCACCUUCCAGAGGCAGUCAGUAAGAAGGUGCAGGCCAGGAAGUGCCUGCUAUGGCUCAGCAGAUUACAAACCCAACCAGGAUCCAUGAGGACAUGGGUUCAAUCCCUGGCCCACUCAGGAGGUUAAGGAUCCAGUGUUGCCAUGAGCUGUGGUGUAGGUCUCAGAUCUGGUGUCACUGUGGCUGUGGUGCUGUGGUUUAGACCGGCAGCUCCAGCUCUGAUUUGACCCCUAGCCUGGAAACUUCCAUAUGCCACAGGUACAGCCCUAAAAAGCAAAAAGAAUGGCCAGCCCAGGUACCUUAGGCAGAGUCCCAGAUGGAGAUGAGCUGGGCUCUGACACUGAGAAAAGGAGCUGAGGGCUGGAGCCCGGGAAGAGGGGCUCAGAGCUCAGGAGGGGCUGAGACAUCAGGCAGGGCCUGCCAGGAGUUUGGGUUUUAUUCUGAAAGGAGGCUUUUAAGCAGGGGGCUGACAGGACACGAUUUCCUCUGUAAGGGUCCCCCUG